AUCGGUUUCAUUAGCUGUGGACACAUUUCAUAUGGGUAACUGGUACUUAUAAGGGUUACUAUUUGUCCAAUUCAUCCAAAUGCGUUCAGUCAAUGAGUGCUUGCAUAUUACAUGCUGAUAGAAAGGUGGUGGAGAGAGGUUCUUGAGGGGGCGUGUGUGACGAAUGCUAGAUGAGGGGCUAAGGCCUAAUUGGGCUGGGGGUAUUGAAGAAUUGUUCAUCAUGUCAGAGUC
rnacentral:lncRNA from 1 species